GCUGGUGUAGCUCAGUUGGUAGAGCAACGCACUUGUAAUGCGUGGGUCGCGGGUUCGACUCCUGUCACCAGCU
rnacentral:tRNA from 2 species